AAGAGUUUGAAGGCAAAAUAAGCAAACCAUGAAGAAAACAGAAAACACAAAACAGGAGCAAAGCAGAGGAGCAAAAGGAGGUAGAGAAGUCAUCGUCCUCGCAGUCGCUGCAAAGGCCAUCACUUCCCAAUUGAUGUUUUUAAGUGCAAAUGUAUUGGAAGGUGCUCAAGGCUGACAUCUUCGUCACAGUUAAGCUCCUGAACUCAUUUCUCUUGUUUGCUGGAUUCGUCCAUGUAAAUGGUAUCUGACAGGCUCAGGAAAGCAACGAUAUCUCACAGAUGACUCUCCUAUGGAGGACAGCAAGAGACUAAUGUGGAUUCAAGAGGAUGUCCAAAUUCUUGGAGUAAUAUGGAAUUCUAUGGAGCCACGAAUUACUUACAUGUAUUCUCAUUGUGAGACAACAAAAGAAGUUUAGAAUUAUGUUAAGUUAUUA